ensembl:lncRNA
AUGUUCACUCCUAACCAAAAAACAGUACCAGCUGUUCCAAGGCUCCUUAACAGGAUAUGGAGAAAACAAAGAGUGUUGAGCAUGGAGAGGAUGGAAGGAAAAGAAUAUCUUUUUCUUCACAAGCGUUUAUUGUUCACAGGCAGGAUGUUAGUCAAACAGGUCUCCUUGUUGUGUGGGGAAACAUCUCGUAGUGCAUUAUUCACUAGAAAAUGCCUCGUGUGUCUUUUCUUUAGUCAAACAGGGAACCACGGCGUGUCUGUGGUUCCAACAAAUAUGAGCUUUUAGACAUGGGCAGUGUCUGCGUUUGUGCUCCUGUUUUUGUAGCGGCUGUUUUGAACUCGGGUUUAUUUGUCAGUGUGUCAGUGGGAUGUUUGAUGCAGCUCUGCUUUUCUGAUGGUUGACUGCAGUGCUUUUUAAACCAGGAAUGAGGGCUAGGACUGCUGCCAAUGGGCAUACAUUUGGGAGGGGUACUGGUAAAUUUCAGUAAUCUGCUCUGCCAUGACUUACACAUUGAACCUUUACAUCUGGCAAUUCCGUGAUCUACCUAUUUAUCUACAUGCCACAGCUUUAUUUCUUCCCAUUACAAAGACAGCAGCACAUCUGCUUUACAGACCAUCAGAGGACAUGAAAACAAAAGCAACCCAAUUGCAAAUCCUCAUGGACAACACGAGGCCAGAACCUUUGUAUGUCAGUGUUUAGUCUGUAGAUGUUUGUAUUACACCACACUGAAAUAUUUGCACAGACAAGCAAAAGAAAACAGUUUUCUCCUUCUGCAAUAACAACAGAGACAGACCGUUUUAUUUACGAGAUUUUAUCAAAAGAGCUUGGCGAGAAGACGAGUUGGAAGGCUUUAUAAAAAACAUCAGUUUAUCUGUGACAAUGGAAGAAAUUCUUCACGUUUGAUUGGACAGAAAGAAAAUCCAUUUUCGAUUUUUCCCUGUUAAAGCCCAUUGACAUUUAUAUUGACUUCUUCUUACUGUAAGAUCAGAGUGUUUCAGAUCCCAAAUACCACAGUUCACAUGUAAUUAGGCACAGGUGCAUGGCCUUGUGGAAGGCACAACAUUUAGAUUUAUUUAUUUAAAAAUAGUUUUUUGUUUAAUGUCACCCUCUUUAUGCAACAUUUCUCUGAAAGUUUCUUUUAAAUGACUUCUAAAUGAAAACAUUCUUUGGUUGCAUCAUAGACAUUUUCUCUUGGCUGCACAUAAUGUGGAAAAUUGAAGACAUCUGUGAAUUUUUUUUCCAUUAUUUUCUGCUGAGUCAUUUUAGAUCUGAGAUCACAGUUUUGACAGUUUGAAGUAUUCUUUAACUUGCAUCUAGCAUCUGUAAUAAAUGUCUAAAGGGUCAAUCUAAAGGGUCUAAAAUGUAAAUGUUUCUUCUUACACUGACAAUACUCUGUGUACACCAUUAGACCUACAAUGUGAAGGAUAAUGUAAGGGUAGAUUUUUAGCUCUUUGCACCUUUAAGCAAAAAGCCAUGUUGAAAUCUUGAAAUAAAGCUGCAAAUAUAGAAUACCAGAAGGAAAUAUAAUGCCUAAAAACCUACGCAUAUCAUAUACCUUAACACAAAAUAAUCUGAAGCAGUGUGAGCACUUAAAAUGUUUCCCUUACAGAUACCUGUG